rnacentral:rRNA from 1 species
UACGUAGGGUGCGAGCGUUGUCCGGAAUUACUGGGCGUAAAGAGCUCGUAGGUGGUUCGUCGCGUUGUCCGUGAAAACUCACAGCUUAACUGUGGGCGUGCGGGCGAUACGGGCAGACUGGAGUACUGCAGGGGAGACUGGAAUUCCUGGUGUAGCGGUGGAAUGCGUAGAUAUCAAGUGGAACACCAGUGGCGAAGGCGAGUCUCUGGACAUUUCCUGACGCUGAGGCACGAAAGCCAGGGGAGCAAACGGG